CACCGGCGGCUCGAGUGGUAACCGUUAUUAUUGGGUCUAAAGGGUCUGUAGCCGGCCGGAUAAGUCUCUUGAGAAAUCCAGCAGCUCAACUGUUGGGCUUUCAGGAGAUACUGUUCGGCUCGAGGCCGGGAGAGGUGAGAGGUACUCCCAGGGUAGGGGUGAAAUCCUGUAAUCCUAGGGGGACCACCUGUGGCGAAGGCGUCUCACCAGAACGGACCUGACGGCAAGGGACGAAAGCUAGGGGCACGAACCGG
rnacentral:rRNA from 1 species